rnacentral:rRNA from 1 species
UAUGUAGGGUGCAAGCGUUGUCCGGAAUUAUUGGGCGUAAAGAGCUCGUAGGCGGUUUGUCGCGUCGGCUGUGAAAACUCGGGGCUCAACCCCGAGCCUGCAGUCGAUACGGGCAGACUAGAGUGCUGUAGGGGAGACUGGAAUUCCUGGUGUAGCGGUGAAAUGCGCAGAUAUCAGGAGGAACACCGGUGGCGAAGGCGGGUCUCUGGGCAGUAACUGACGCUGAGGAGCGAAAGCGUGGGGAGCAAACAGG